AUAAGCAAAGUGGAUGUACUGCUUAGAAAAACCUCCCUUCCUUCCUCUUCACAUCUUCACAUCCAAACCUCCCUUCCUCUCUCAUAACUCUCAUCCUUGUCAUAAUUUGCUCUACCGCGCCGGAGGCGGCAUAUCAAGGCUAAUUAGUACCAAAACGCCACCAAAAGACUCACCUAUUCGUCUUCUCUCUAUUUCUCACCAUCGUUUCCUAUUUCAUCCACGAAACCCAAACGAAAUCCAUUCUCACAGUAAACCCCAGAUCUAAGCAAAAUAUGAAUUAAAUUCCAUACAAGCUAUGGUUCAUGCAAUUACAUGAGGGUUGUGGUUCUACGCAACAAGCACAACACAAUGGCAAGGAGAAAGGUGCACACAGAAGAAGAAAAGGAUAACUUAUGAGCUUAUCUGCAGGAGUAGCUCUGAAGGCCCUUCGAAUUUGGUGUUGACUCACAAGAAAACCAGAGAUUGGCUUAGAAACCCAGGGUUGUUGUAUGCUUGGUUGGCCAUAACACAAUGGUGAUUUAGCAAGGGACUAUCAAGGUUGGAAAGGCAUGAUGACACCAUGGAUCAUGAAGGAGUUUUGGAUAAAUUGAAUACUUGUAGGACCAUAGAUGAAAGACCUUGAGGAUGAAAAGAAAAGUAGUUUGACUUUGGUCAACUGUUUGAUCAAAAAGUCAACAGUUGAUCAAAAGUAACUCUAGGUCCUAAAUGACUUUUUUGUAUAAUUUUGUUACUCUCCCUCUUGGAAUGCAAUUUUAUGAUUUUGUAAUGAAAAAUGCCCCUUUUGAAU